rnacentral:rRNA from 1 species
GACGAACGCUGGCGGCGUGCUUAACACAUGCAAGUCGAACGGAAAGGCCUGCUUUCCCUUGUGGAUUGCGGGUACUCGAGUGGCGAACGGGUGGGUAACACGUGAGUGAUCUGCCCCCAACUUGGGUAUAAGCCUGGGAAACUGGGUCUAAUUCCCGAUAGGACUGCAGGGUGGUGCCUGUGGUGGAACACGAUUUUCUAGUGGUUGGGGAUGAGCUCGCGGCCUAUCAGCUUGUUGGUGGGGUAAUGGCCUACCAAGGCGGCGACGGGUAGCCGGCCUGGGAGGGUGGACGGCCACAUUGGGACUGGGACACGGCCCAGACUCCUACGGGUGGCAGCAGUGGGGAAUAGUGCACAAUGGGCGGAAGCCUGAGGCAGCGACGCCGCGCGGGGGAUGACGGCCUUCGGGUUGUAAACUCCUUUCGACCGCGAGGAAGCCACCUGGUUGGAAGGGUGGUGACGGUAGUGGUAGAAGAAGCACCGGCUAACUACGUG